rnacentral:rRNA from 1 species
AUACGUAGGGAGCGAGCGUUGUCCGGAUUUACUGGGUGUAAAGGGUGCGUAGGCGGCUCUGCAAGUCAGGUGUGAAAACCAUCGGCUUAACUGAUGGACUGCAUUUGAAACUGUGGGGCUUGAGUGGAGUAGAGGCAGACGGAAUUCCCGGUGUAGCGGUGAAAUGCGUAGAGAUCGGGAAGAACACCAGUGGCGAAGGCGGUCUGCUGGGCUCUAACUGACGCUGAGGCACGAAAGCAUGGGUAGCAAACAGGAUUAGAUACCCUGGUAGUCCAUGCCGUAAACGAUGAUUACUAGGUGUGGGGGGUCUGACCCUCUCCGUGCCGGAGUUAACACAAUAAGUAUCCCGCCUGGGGAGUACGGCCGCAAGGCUGAA